AUUGAACGCUGGCGGCAUGCCUAACACAUGCAAGUCGAACGAGUGGCGGACGGGUGGGUAGUUUAUUGGGACUGCCCGAUAUAGGUGUAUAACUACUGGAAACGGUAGCUAAUACCGCAUACUAUCGGAUAGGCCAUAUGGGAUUAGCUAGUAGGUGUGGUAAGGGCUCACCUUGGCGACGAUCCCUAGCUGGGCUGAGCGGAUGAUCGGCCACACUGGGACUGAGACACGGCCCAGACUCCUACGGAGGCAGCAGUGGGGAAUAGUGGACAAUGGGCGAAAGCCUGAUGCAGCAAUGCCGCGUGUAUGAAGAAGGCCUUAGGGUUGUAAAGUACUGUCAGUCGGGAGGCGUUAGCGACAGAAGAAGCACCGGCUAACUACGUGCCAGCAGCCGCGGUAAUUC
rnacentral:rRNA from 1 species